CACACCUUGUGACACUGAGGAUUUUUUUUUUUGAGACAGGGUCUCACUGUGUCACCCAGGCUGGAGUGCAGUGGUGUGAACAUAGCUCACUGCAGCCUCGGACUCCUGACCUCAAGCAAUCCUCCCGCCUUAGCCUUCCAGGUGCUUGAGAUGAGAAACAGACUUUUUUUCCUUUGAGAAUUCAUUAUUUCUCCCCUUGGGCUGUUUGUUCAAACCCACACAGGAGCAGGAACAUUGCUUUCGAUUGCCAAAGAAAUGACAUAAUGAUGCCAAUGAUUAAAAUGUCAAGAACACAGUGUCUUGGGCUGAGAUGGUGAAAAGGCAGGUCGGGUGAAGAAGAGCAGGAUGUUUCAUUUUUAUCAAGCAUCACCUGAUUCAAAAUGUAGCCACUGAAAAGAAGCCAUCGUUUUUGGCCUGCGUCUCUGAGGAUAAGAUAGUGCGUGGGUGAUGGAUGCAGCCCAGGAGAUGUGUUUGUUUGAGUAGAUCAGCUAUGAAAAUACCCAGCCGGCCUGCAGCCCUCCCGGCAGAUGCUGAAAAGGAAACCCGACUGGGAGAUGCCGCCCACCCUUAUCCCCAGAGAGCUGCGUUGUUUCCUCUUGCCUUGGCCUUUGGAUCCGGCCAUAGCAAGCAUCCCUGGGCACCUGGCUGAAGCUGGAAACUCGGGAUAAGAAUGGAAGCCCUGGAAGGGAAGAAGAACCGAGGAGAGGACAGCACAUUGCACUCUCACCUCCUUUGCAGUUAAGUGUGAAAUAGUGCCAAUAGAGUGUAAAAGAAAAGAAAGAAGAUGAUUCACCUCCCAAAGAUUCCCCACUGCUGUGUCCCUUCUAUCAACUUGAUACAAAAAAACACAAUGGCCCCGGGAACCACGUGUUGAAGAUGAGAGAGCUAAAAGAUGGAAAGAGACUGGAGCCCUGAGUCACCACCUGGAGGAAAACUACCCACCCAUCAGGAAUUUCUACUACACAUUUGGGAGUUUUUGGGGUUACAGCAGCUAAUUUAACGAAAACACCCAGAGACAAGAGCUAUUACUGCACAAAUUGGUUAAGUUACCUUUUUGUAUGUUUGGGUCCUCUCUAUUCGAUGAGACUGCGCGUUCCUUUGAAGCAAAUCUGUUUAAAAUUCUUAUAUCCCCAGAGGGCCUAGCAGAGAGUAUGCACAGAGUGAGCCUUCAGUAAAUGCUGAGUAAAUAAGCUCCUAAUG
rnacentral:lncRNA from 1 species